rnacentral:lncRNA from 1 species
AGCCCCUGGGGCCGCCGCCCCUGCAGGAGGGCCCCGGGACUCCCCUGCUUGACCCCGGGCUAGCGCAGCUGCCAGCUCGGCUCCUGGAAGAUGCCUCCGCCCCCCGCCGUACCCCCACCCCGUUAUUGCGUGUCUCAGACCUGGCUCUGCUGAGGAACGUGCUUUCUGCACAGCAGAGGCUGGGGGGAGUUCCUGUCGCGGCUCCUUGCGAUCCAAGGCAGGAGAGGCUUUCCCGGCCACAGGGAAUCUCCUCUCAGGAGCGGGGCAGGGAGCCUCAGCUCGUCGUGGAAACUGGGAGCGGUUUGGUUUUCCCGGGCACCAGAAGUUCAGUCCAGGAUCAGCAGCAUCCUUCUUCUCCCAGCCUCUGAUCUGAGCGUCAGCCAUUGGCACCAGGCCGGCGCAGUUAGUGAUUCCUUGCCAGGGAAAUCCACCAAAGGAAACGUUGGGAAAUGGAAAUCCCAUUCCCCACACGAAGCACCUCUAGGGCUAAAGCAAACCGUCCCCAGUGAAUCAUGCGGUCUUCCUGCCCUCAGACGUGGUUUCUCUGUCUGCAUGGAGGCUGUGGGAGUUUCUGUAGGGGAAGCAGAUUGCAGACCUAGUAAAGUAAAGGGAUCAGAUGGGAGGGCCUAAGGGGCUCACGUCCAAUUGGCAAGAGGGCAAGCUAUCCAUUCUACCACUACCAGGUAGGAAGCUCUAAGCAGAGCGCUGCAAUUUUAGGUUACAAAAAGCACACAUGAAUUGUUGAGUUCAAACACUUAGAAAAUUUGUCUGUGCUUUCAACAGUUACUUAAGGGUAGGCACAUGUUUUUAAUCAUAAAAGCUACUUUCAGUGAAAGAUUUGUAGGAGAAACAACUCACAGCCUCUAAGGUAUGCAAAGGAAAUGGAUCCUAAGUGCAUCACUCUGCACCCAGGAACUACAACUGGGAGACCCUAACAUGGAAACAUGAAAAGAAAUAUCUUUCUUUCAGAGUUGGCUGUUGUGAUAGACCCAGUAACAAAUGACAGAGGCAAAUAGAAUAGAAAAGACAAGACCCUGAUCUAUAGAAAUGGGGCACAAACCAUCUGUAAGUCUCAAACUGAAGGGGAGAGCCAAAUCACUGGGGCUUUAGUCUUGCCUCUAUCCAAAGGGAACAACAAAAUAAAAGUGAACAUUUAAAGUAAUAGUUGAUCA